UGCAUUGAAAGUGACUACAUCGGG
rnacentral:siRNA from 1 species